AGUCACUGACAUUAGAUACCCGCGUAGUCCAGGGUGUAAACGCUGCAGACUUGGUGUUGGAAGUCCUUUGGGGGCAUUCAGUGCCGGAGAGAAGUUGUUAAGUCUGCUACUUGGGAAGUACGGUCGCAAGGCUGAAACUUAAAGGAAUUGGCGGGGGAGCACCGCAACGGGAGGAGCGUGCGGUUUAAUUGGAUUCAACACCGUAAAACUCACCAGGGAAGACUGUUACAUGAAGGCCGAGAUGAAGACUCUGCUAGAUUUUCAG
rnacentral:rRNA from 1 species